AAAUUGAAGAGUUUGAUCAUGGCUCAGAUUGAACGCUGGCGGCAGGCCUAACACAUGCAAGUCGAGCGGCAGCGGGAAAGUAGAUUGCUACUUUUGCCGGCGAGCGGCGGACGGGUGAGUAAUGCCUGGGAAAUUGCCCAGUCGAGGGGGAUAACAGUUGGAAACGACUGCUAAUACCGCAUACGCCCUACGGGGGAAAGCAGGGG
rnacentral:rRNA from 1 species